GAUGAACGCUGGCGGCGUGCCUAAUACAUGCAAGUCGAGCGAACAGACGAGGAGCUUGCUCCUCUGACGUUAGCGGCGGACGGGUGAGUAACACGUGGAUAACCUACCUAUAAGACUGGGAUAACUUCGGGAAACCGGAGCUAAUACCGGAUAAUAUAUUUAACCGCAUGGUUCAAUAGUGAAAGACGGUUUUGCUGUCACUUAUAGAUGUAUCCGCGCCGCAUUAGCUAGUUGGUAAGGUAACGGCUUACCAAGGCAACGAUGCGUAGCCGACCUGAGAGGGGGAUCGGCCACACUGGAACUGAAACACGGUCCAGACUCCUACGGGAGGCAGCAGUAGGGAAUCUUCGGAAAUGGGCGAAAGCCUGACGGAGCAACGCCGCGUGAGUGAUGAAGGUCUUCGGAUCGUAAAACUCUGUUAUUAGGGAAGAACAAAUGUGUAAGUAACUAUGCACGUCUUGACGGUACCUAAUCAGAAAGCCACGGCUAACUACGUG
rnacentral:rRNA from 1 species